rnacentral:rRNA from 1 species
UACGUAGGUGGCAAGCGUUGUCCGGAUUUACUGGGCGUAAAGAGCGCGCAGGCGGUCGUUCAAGUCGCGUGUGAAAGCCCCGGCUCAACUGGGAGGGUCACGCGAUACUGAUCGACUCGAAGGCAGGAGAGGGUAGUGGAAUUCCCGGUGUAGUGGUGAAAUGCGUAGAUAUCGGGAGGAACACCAGUGGCGAAGGCGACUACCUGGCCUGUUCUUGACGCUGAGGCGCGAAAGCUAGGGAGCAAACGGG